UACAGAGUGGGCAGCGUUGUUCGGAAUUAUCUGGGCGUAAAGGGCGCGUAGCGGUUCGUUAAGUCCUGUGUGAAAUCCCCCGGCUCAACUGGGGAACUGCACAGGAAACUAGCGGGCUUGAGUUCGGGAGAGGGAUGCAGAAUUCCAGGUGUAGCGGUGAAAUGCGUAGAUAUCUGGAGGAAUACCGGUGGCGAAGGCGGCAUCCUGGACCGACAUUGACGCUGAGUGAGCGAAAGCCAGGGGAGCAAACGGG
rnacentral:rRNA from 1 species